UUUCAGCAGCUUUCUUUCAUUCAACAACACUCCACUCCUUUGUUGCCACUCUCAAAAACCUAGCGCCGCAUACCCAUAUUCUUCAAAAAUCAACAAUGGUGAUUUCAGAUAUUAAACACCGAUCUCACAUCUUCAAAUACAACUUUCUCAUUUUCAGUUGUUCAUCAUCCAUUCAAAGCCAGUAUGUUAUUUUGCCUCCAUCGCUGUAUCUACAAAUAUCAAAUAUCAAACAGUGAAAUAUUAGGGUUAGGAGCAACGAGAGGAUGGGAUGCGACAUAGAAGGAUGGGAAUCCAGGUCUAGAUUCGACUUGCGAGGAUUGGGUCAAUUGGAAGAAGCUGUAAUGGUGGAUGCAUCAUAUUUUCAUUUGAUUCGGUCAACAGCUUCGAUCUACUAAUUUUUUUAUUUGAAUGCAUUCUUAAUGAUUCGUUAAUUAUAUUUGUGUAAUCUUGAUUUGUUAAUCCAUUGUUCAUCUUUUAGUGCAUCUAAAAAAUCAAAAUUCAAGAUACUAAGCGAAGGUUGUUUCAGAAUCUUUAUUUUCAUGAUUCAUUUGUGUUUGAGAUUAUGUAGUUUAAAUCAUGAAUAAUUUAGAUUCUUUUGGAUAUAAUAGAUGUAUGUUCAACUUUCCUUUUGGAUAUUCCAGACUUGUGGAUUUUAAGGGAGAGGCAUGUCUUUGAGUUUUAAAACCUAUGAAAUGUCUACUGUAUUUGAGUUUUAAUUGAUGUGGUUUUCUCUAAUCUGGCGUUCAAAUUCAUGCAGCUUCCUUUUCUUUUAGGUAGCACAAUUUGAAACCAGCUUGAUGUAUGUUAGCAUCAUUGUACUGAUCUAUUGUUUUAUGUGUGCCUUUCCCGAAUGAACUAAUGGUUUCUUUUUUUGUUUUGUUUUCUACUUUUUUGUUGGCAGCCUGAUAAAGUUUUUGCACAACCAACUCCUCUUUCAUGGUGACUGAUUUGCAUGAAUAUAUAGUUUGUUUACACUUUUUUCCCAUUUCUUCACUCUAAGUCGUGUUUGAGAUUCAAAGGAACAAGUAUCAGUAUGGUAUUGUGAAAUUACUCUUUUUUUCAAUAGAGAGAAAUAUAAUGUACAACUUAGAUCUUUUUGAUGUUCUUGAAUGAGGUUAUAUACUUCUAUAAAUGCUUUUAAGAAGAUAUAAUGUGAUCAAUAGCCUCAGCCCUAUAUUAAAAUUGAAGAUAGAAAUUUUACGACGAACUUUUUUUAUGGUAUUACGUUACCGAAGCUUUCUGUUCUCUUAAUUUAUUUUGUAUGUUAUUGAGAAGUGUGCUGGCACCGAUUGGUCAUUGGUCACCACAAAUGACGCGAAAAGAUAUUACUACAAUGCUAAAACCAAGCUGAGCAGCUGGCAAAUACCAGCAGAUGUGGCCAAGUUAAGAAAGACGCAGGAAAAUGAUGCUUUAAAAGAACAAUCAAAAUCAAUGCAUAACGUAACUACUUUAACUGAAAAAGGAUCCGGCCCAUUAAGCUUGAACGCCCCUGCUAUUACCACAUGUGGCUGUGAUGCCAUAUCUCCUGUCUCACCAUCUGCACUUGAUUGAUAAAAAAGAAACUGCAAGAUUCUGCAGCUCCUGCUACCAUUGGAUCUGACCUGAACGGUAGAAAAUGAAAAAAUGCAUGUUUUAUGCCGAUAGAUGCUGGUGCGGAACUGAAUAAUGACUUCUACCACUUUGUAAAGGUAAUAUCUUGCUUUUUAUAGCUUCGCUUGGCUUGGCUUGGUCUGGACAUGGCUUAUUUACAAAACAAGUCGACGCGGCUCAGUUCAUUUACAAGUGAUCCAACUACAACAAAUAAGGUUUUGUAUCGGUACUACAUCGGCUUUUAUUGACUUGCCAAGUUUUGAAAAACUUGAGAUGGAUAAGGAGUAGCUAGGCAACGUUCAGAAGGUCAUUUCGUGCUCUACUUGAUGUUGUCUUAUCAAAAAUUCACCGAAAACCGUGUUUUUGGUGCUCUUAAGGAAUAGUACCAGUGAACUUAUUGAUGCAAAAGUUGAAAUUUAGAAGAUUUGGGAGUGCGUCUGCAACAUUGUAAGGAAAUGCUACAAGAACAAGGUUCCUUUAUUACUUCGUCUGUUUUGCUGGAAUUGUGGUUGCAUCAACUCAUUGAACUCUAUACGUUUGAUGAUCAACAGUUAAGUCAGACAAAUGCAAACGUUUCUGAGGAGGUGGUGAUAAUUGAGAAUGGUCAACGUACUGUCUACCAAGUUUACAAUGAUGACAAGUAACAGUGUUGUUCAAAUCAAUAUUAAAAGUAAAAAAGGGCUAGACAAACUGAAGGAUGGUGAUUAUUUAAUGAAGAUGGGCAGUGGCGGAGCUACACUUUAAACAACGGUGUCGUCCGACACCAUUGAAUUUUGUGUAGCAAAUACAACGUAUAAUUGGAAAAAUUCGAGCGACACCAUUAUUUUUUACGAGCGACACCAUUGUUUUUUUACCAACGACACCAUUGUUUUGUUUUCUUCUAAAACAGUUAC